UACGAAGGGGGCUAGCGUUGCUCGGAAUUACUGGGCGUAAAGGGCGCGUAGGCGGGUAUUUAAGUCAGAGGUUAAAUCCCAGGGCUCAACCCUGGAACUGGCCUUUGAUACUGGAUACCUAGAGUUCGGGAGAGGUGUGUGGAACUCCGAGUGUAGAGGUGAAAUUCGUAAGAUAUUGGGAAGAACACCGGUGGCGAAGGCGGCUCACUGGCUCGUAACUGACGCUCAUGCACGACAGCGUGGGGAUCAAACAGG
rnacentral:rRNA from 1 species